AUGGCCUGGACUCCUCUCCUCUUCCUGCUCCUCUCUCACUGCACAGGUUCCCUCUCGCAGCCUGUCCUGACUCAGCCAAGCUCCCUGUCCGCAUCUCCUGGAGCAUCAGCCAGACUCACCUGCACCUUUAGCGGUGGCAUCAUUGUUGGUGGCUACCACAUAUUCUGGUACCAGCAGAAGCCAGGGAGUCCUCCCCGGUAUCUCCUGAGGUACAAAUCAGACUCAGAUAAGCACCAGGGCUCUGGAGUCCCCAGCCGCUUCUCUGGAUCCAAAGAUGCUUCGGCCAAUGCAGGGAUUUUACUCAUCUCCGGGCUCCAGUCUGAGGAUGAGGCUGACUAUUAUUGUAUGAUUUGGCACAGCAGUAGCGCUUCUCACAGUGACACACACAGAUGGGGAACUGGGAUGAAAACCUCGCCCUGCUCUCACUCUUGUUCUGUGUCAAGGUUCUGGGCCCGGUCUGUGCUGACUCAGUGGUGUGAAGUGUUCGUGUGGGUGGGGCAAACGGCCACCAUCUAUCGCACUGGAAGCAGAAGCAAGGCUGGGUGUGGGCCUGUGUCCUGGUACCAGCAGUGCCCCCAGACUCCUCAUCUAUGA